rnacentral:rRNA from 1 species
GACGAACGCUGGCGGCGUGCUUAACACAUGCAAGCCGAACGAUGAACCGGUUUCGGCCGGGGAUUAGUGGCGAACGGGUGAGUAACACGUGGGCAAUCUGCCCUGCACUCUGGGAUAAGCCCGGGAAACUGGGUCUAAUACCGGAUACGACACUCCGAGGCAUCUUGGGGUGUGGAAAGUUCCGGCGGUGCAGGAUGAGCCCGCGGCCUAUCAGCUUGUUGGUGGGGUAAUGGCCUACCAAGGCGACGACGGGUAGCCGGCCUGAGAGGGUGACCGGCCACACUGGGACUGAGACACGGCCCAGACUCCUACGGGAGGCAGCAGUGGGGAAUAUUGCACAAUGGGCGAAAGCCUGAUGCAGCGACGCCGCGUGAGGGAUGACGGCCUUCGGGUUGUAAACCUCUUUCAGCAGGGAAGAAGCGAAAGUGACGGUACCUGCAGAAGAAGCACCGGCUAACUACGUG